GUCUAGAUUUUCCAAAAUACAAGGAGGGAGGUUUUGAUCUUUAUUUCUUGGAAGGAGGGGGCUAAGAAAGGUUAGUUCAUGCCUCUAAUGCCUCUUUUUGUGCCCUCUUGCUCAAUUGUGCUACUUUUUGGAUCUACGGUUUCACCAUGAGAGGGAGAGAGUAGACUAGCUAGGUAUGCACUAUAUUUGCUCAAAUGAGGUUGAUAAGAUGAUGUCUCUCCUCUCCCUAUUUCUAUGUUUCUUUCUCUAAUUAGUGAAUCCAAGAAAUAUAUAUGUAGUGGUUUCCAUGAAUGGUGUUUUCAUGCUUGGGAAAAGAGAGAAAGAUAUGUUAUCUUUUUUAGUUUUUUUAAAUCAUAUUGUUUAGGAUGUUAUUUCUUAUGUGAAUUUGAUUUAAUUAUGCAAUAUGCAUUUUUUUUUAUGUAUGAGGAUGC
rnacentral:lncRNA from 1 species